rnacentral:lncRNA from 1 species
GAGGGAUUGAGUCGAGGGGAACCCACCCACGCGUCCAUCCCGUUCUCAAGGUCUUUUUGGACCUUCUCUUCGCCUUCCUUCGGCUCUCGCGAGCACUGAUGGUGGAUGAGUUGGCCGGAGGCAUCUGGCAGUGUAAAGAGCGCGCCCUGUUUGUCUGCUUUUCCUUUUUUUCUUUCCCUUUGUGUUUUUUACCCGCGCACAAUCUCCAAGCUUGGCCCUGUGGGCUGUGUUCUUUCCCUCAUACUUUCUUUUCCAACCCCGAAACCGGAAAAAAAAAUCCCAUGGUUUUCUCUCUACCUCUCUUGCCCAUGGAAGCGGUUGGAGUUCUUGAUGCAUUGAGGUAGGCAGGAUAUAAUCCCCUCCUCCUCUUCUUCUUCUUCUUCUUUUUCGUUAUACUUCGGAAAGGUUUGAUUGGACGAUGCUCUGAAAAAAAAAAUAUUUUUUGGUUUCUUGGCAUCUGUGGAAGAAGAGGGGAGAGAACGGGGUAGUUUUUUUUUUUAUUCUCUCUCUCUCUCU